AAAAAGGUAAGCUAAAAAAGCUAAUAGGUUCAUACCCUGUAAAUGAAAUUAAUAACAUUUCUCUUUUUA
rnacentral:tRNA from 1 species